AGCCAGUGACAAAAGUGUCUACGCGUUCACCUGCAAAGUAGAAAAUAACCUGGGCAGUGACAAACGAAAUACCUUUCUUUUCAUAGCAAGUAAUGUAAUUAACGUGACCCUGGUUAUCACGAGUGAAGAGUGUACUGAUGGGAAAUACAGUCAACCAUGGGAGAAACUCAACAAAACGAUAGACGAGGUGUUUGCUGGUAAACUGGGCUAUGAAAGUGUGCAACUGAAAAGUAUCAGGUAUUCAAACAGUUUCAGAUCGAGUUCUUAAACUUCAAAAAUUUUCCUUUGGACUUACAUUUUGGGCGGAAAACUUUCGGACGUUUUGU